rnacentral:misc_RNA from 1 species
UAGCCAUAACGAAAGAAAAUUACGGUCUGUCCGGAUAUCGGUGGAGGUGUAGCGAUUUGUGGGCAGUAUUUGGUCGUAGAAUGUUUAACGUUAUCGUGGCAGUUUUACCAUUGUCGGUAUUGACGACAGAAGUGACAUUAAUUAAUGGGUAUCAGACGAUGUAAGAUAAUGGAUAAGCACGGGUGCAACAAACGGAACAAAGUCAUGAAUGCCUUUGGAACUAUGAGCCAGUGAAACAAGGCGUUUUCUCUCAUGAUGAUAUAAAAGCUAGAAUCAUUACGGUAUCACCGCGGCGCCGAUCUCUUAUAAUAAUACCACGAACUAAUGCAACUUCAUUCGCAGUGUUGAAGUGGCUGUUCAAACAAAGAUAGUAAUCACAACAGAAUUUUUUUUAAAUAAUCAAAUACUGCAAUGGACGAAUGUAUGCUCAACGAUUUGCUUGAGUGUUCAGUUUGUCUUGAACGACUGGAUACUUCGAGUAAGGUAUUACCAUGCCAGCAUACUUUUUGUAAAAAAUGUCUAGAAGAGAUUCUGAGCACGCACAGGGAGCUGAGAUGUCCAGAGUGCAGAGUACUCGUUGACAUCAAGAUCGAUGAUCUUCCUCCCAACGUACUUCUCAUGCGGAUAUUAGAAGGAAUGCGCAAUGCUACACCAAGGGUUAUAAAAACCCCAGUACGUGGUAUUUCCGGCCCGCAACGAUUGCUCGGUGGACAUCAAAUUGCUCCUGUUUCAGCUACCGCCAACCAAAUACCCAUUACUGUCCCUGCUGACCCUACCCGCCAAACUAAUUCCGCUGCCAAACAAGUCCACUUACACAAUCAACCCUAUGGCCGUGCUAUCUAUGACUACGUGUCCAAGGUGCCAGGAGACCUGAGCUUCAAGAAAGGUGAAAUUGUUGUUCUACGUAAGAAGAUUGAUAACAAUUGGUAUUUUGGAGAAUGUGGAAACAGCCAUGGAGUUUUCCCCCUUUCUUAUGUCCAGGUAAUGACGCCUUUACCUCCUCAUGUACCACAGUGUAAAGCUUUAUAUGACUUUCGGAUGACUAAUGACGAUGAAGAUGGUUGUCUUACUUUUAACAAGGGUGAAGUUAUCAGUGUGAUAAGACGAGUCGAUGAAAAUUGGGCAGAGGGUAAACUGUUGGAUCGUAUUGGAAUAUUCCCUCUAGCCUUUGUUGAACUAAAUAGCGUUGCUAGAGCCUUAAUGAAACUGUCCACAAAUGCUCAACCCGGACCUUCUAGAGUAGCACCGCCAACACCCACAAAUGAAGAAACAACGCCUCUCAUACCAACUGAUCAUUCCCGAAAUGUGCAAGCUGCCAAUCAACCUCAUCCACAAAUACCUUUGGCAACAACCUUACCAAUGUCAGACACUAGUUCAAUCGUAUCAUCUGGAGGCAGUUCAACGACAACAACUCCAAAUACUCCAAACAGUUCAAACACUUCGAGUAGCUCAAGUACAGCACCCAGUAGCCCAAGUAGUCCUGCAGCUACAUCUCCACCUGCUGUUGGCAGUAGACAUAGCAUGAAGCGCCACAGUUUCACCGCCAUAAAUUCAGGUCAUCAUCCGCACACUCAUCACAGACACAGCGCUGAGAUUCUUAGUCCAGCAAUCGAUGCUGUUCUCACAGGGGCAAGCGAACCUUUCAGCGCAGUUCAGACUAGUAGUAGUACCGACCCUGGAGUACGUCAUAGACGCAGCGGAAGCAGCGAUCUGGUUCUGGCCCAACCUUCUCAAAAUAUGCUCACAACUUCAGGUGGUAGCCAUUUACCAGCAGCUUAUAUUGCUCUCUAUCCAUAUAAACCUCACAAGGCUGACGAGUUGGAAUUACGUAAAGGUGGGAUUUACAUGGUGACAGAAAGAUGCCAGGAUGGUUGGUUCAAAGGAACGUCCAAUCGUACCCAAAAAUGUGGAGUCUUUCCUGGGAAUUACGUUGCACCGGCAAAAUCUCAAUUACAAAUACGUAAUAUUUGUCGAUCUACACCAAGUACAACUUCUCAUCAAGGUACACAGUCCCCAACUGUUUCAACAAGCUGUAAUGAACCUCGACCUUGCAUAACGUAUACCAGAAAUAAAGGUGCUGCUCUGCAACCCCAAGGAAUCCGUCCUCUACCACCACCCGAACUGCCCCCCAGAACUGCGAGUCCGGCAUCUGGUAUAUCUUCUUCUUGGCAUGGGCAAGGUGAAAUUCAAAGUCAGGCUCAAUCUCAAAGUCACGAUCAAUCUCCUGCAACGAAUCCGCUGGGGAGAAGUCACAGCGCCGUCAUGUCAACUAAUCAAGCUUCACCAGGUAAACAAACAAUGUUACCUCCACCAUUAACAGACUUGAGCAGAAGUCCUAAUAAUACGCUACGAUUAGCGAGCACUGUAAGCCCACCUCCGAAUACUUCAAUUGCACUUGGCACAGCAAAGGUUACUGAAAAGAAAGAGAAAAAAGACAAAGGAGUCUCGCUAAUGCGGCGUUUAACUAAUAUUAAGAAAUCAAAGUCUCCACCGCCAGCAUCGUAUUCAAUGGAUAACCCGGUCUUCGAUGAUGGGAACACAGUCACUGUGAUAAAUCCUGUUCACGUUAGGUUCUUGCCCGAGCCAGCUGCUACAGGUCUGUCCACAGCUAGAUGUAAAUACUCAAAAUACCCAUCAUCGUCUGCAUACGAGUUCUGGCUCAAGUCCCGCAACUACAUCUCAGAGGUUCAAACACAAAGAGCGACCCUCUAUACCUGUAUCAUUUCUACAAAGGGCUGGCGACAAUGGCGUUGCCCAUGCUGUAAUGGGCAGUCAUCAUCGUAAAAGUAAUUCCUUAGAUGCUGGCAGUGGAAAACAAAGCAAACAACAACAACAACCGUCAGGAAGAGAGAGAGAUCGAGUAUAUCGAUUUCGUUGCAUCGUACCGUACCCUCCAAAUAGUGAAUUUGAAUUAGAACUUCGGGUUGGGGAUAUAAUACAUGUGC